CGGGUAGUAUCAUUUUGAACUGCACCUUUAGUGUUAAUUAUAUAGAUUAUUUUUUAUGCUCAUAUCAAUUUGAAUGGGACAUUACA
rfam:Clostridium acidisoli DSM 12555 genome assembly, contig: EJ29DRAFT_scaffold00009.9